rnacentral:rRNA from 1 species
UACGUAGGGUGCAAGCGUUGUCCGGAAUUAUUGGGCGUAAAGAGCUCGUAGGCGGUUCGUCACGUCGGCUGUGAAAACCUGAGGCUCAACCCCGGGCCUGCAUUCGAUACGGGCAGACGUAGAGUUCGGUAGGGGGAGGUCUGGAAUUCCUGGUGUAGCGGUGAAAUGCGCAGAUAUCAGGAGGAACACCGGUGGCGAAGGCGGGUUGCUGGGCCGACACUGACGCUGAUGCGCGAAAGCCAGGGGAGCGAACGGG